UCCUUAGGUACCCAUCUUUGUUCGGAUUUACUGGGCGUAAAGCGCGUGUAGGCGGUUGCCCAAGUCGGGUGUGAAAGCCUUGAGCUCAACUCAAGAAAUGCACUCGAUACUUGGUGACUAGAGGACCGGAGAGGAUAGUGGAAUUCCCAGUGUAGUGGUGAAAUACGUAGAGAUUGGGAAGAACACCAGUGGCGAAGGCGGCUAUCUGGACGGUUUCUGACGCUAAGACGCGAAAGCGUGGGGAGCAAACAGG
rnacentral:rRNA from 1 species